CUCUGACUUCUCACUUCUUGUGUUGCUUCUGUUAGUCAUGUCUUACAUAUCUUAGGACUAGCCAUUUCAUUUUGCUAUAUGAGCAUUCUGUGUGUCUCUAAUUAAAUGCUCAAUAAAUUCAUUAGUGGUAGUUACUCCAUACUCUGAUGAUGAGGCCCUAAAUUAUUAAGCAUUAUUAAAGAACGGAGAUGAUAUUGCACAUCCUUACAUUGCUAUUUUAAAUUUACUUCAUAUGCUUUGUCAUUCUAAACUCUGAGUGUUUGCCCCCUUCUAAAUAAGUCAAUAUGAAAGGAGAAAACUAUUUCUUGAAUAUGAGUGUUAAUAAUUUGCUAUAACAUACAUGCCUGAAUUGCAUCAUCUUCUUCAUAUGCCUUACUUUAAGUAAUAUAGAAUUAAGGUAUUUUGGUACAUUUUAUCAGAAGACCUUUUCAUGCCUUUGACCUCUGAAAGGAUCUCCUAGGCGAUAAGGAAGCACAGCAAGGAGUUGCAGUCUCAGCUACUUAAAUUUAAAUACCUAUCACAUUCCUAUGGAGCGAGACACACGGAUCACUCUUUUCACAUAUUUAUUUGUUGCAGACACUAUGUUCUCUGUGGAAUUCUUUGCUGACACCUGAAAAUGUGCCAAUGGGUUUGCCCAGAGAGCUCUGUGAGAUGUAUUUUGUCCUUAUGUGUAUGGUGGGCUGUUUGAUGAGGCACUCUCUCAAGAUCAGAAGACAACUCAAUGAUGCCAAAUUUGUCUACAUUUUCUCUGUUUCAUGGCUACUUGUGAUGUAAUGGAGGACAUACAUACACUCCAAAGCUUCAACAAAGGCAAUCUUUGUUCAUGCAUCUGAGACUGCAUGUCUCAAAUAUUUUAUCGAUUUACUCUUAACAAAAGGAAAACUAGUCAUGCCUGUUGGAAAUGCCGGUGUAGGAAAAACAGUGUUUGUACUUGGUAGACUUGCUGCUCCCUCUGAAGACCACUUCCUGGCUAAGAUCCUUCUCAAUUACUACACAGCAUCAGUAAUGCUCCAGAGUAAGUUCCAUAGAGAUGCAAGAAACCUAUCUUCCCUCAACAGCAAAGGUGAAAAAUAUUCUGCAGUUAUUACAAUCUCUGCUGCCAUUGUCUGGGUCUUGGCAAGCUCAUCGUUGCACAAAGUAGAAAACAAUUGAAGUUGGAGCAAGCAAGAAGAAAGGAGAAGGAUCAAACUGUUUGGUGUAAACUGGCACCAACCCUGCUCCCACAAGUUGUUCUGUGCUUGUGGACAAGAGAAAAUUUGGCUUUACCUAUGUUAACAAGAAACCUUCAUCCAGCUUUGGCUAGCUUGAGUGUCUCUGCAUUGUGCCUGCAGAUCUAGGACAGAGAGUCGGGAGUUGGGGCUGCUUUUGUUAGGCACCAUAUGAUCCUCAAUGAGGGAAAAUCCCUGUCUAGAGAAGUUUGGAUUCUCCUUUAGACAGGAUGGAUUCAGAGCAAAGGAAAUGUUAAUAUAACCGACAAGAGAACUGUAUACUGGCUGAAAAUGUUACACUGGUGUGUAGAGAAAAAAAUACGUGUCCUAUUAACUGUACAGCUUUUCACAGCUGUAAAAAGCAUUUGAGAAAAGUUAAUACACUGUCUUAUUCUCUCAUUUGUCUGGGAGAGAAUACAGAAAACAAUGUAUCACUUUUAAAAACUUUCCAGAAUCGAAGAAGUCUUCACAUAAAAUCUUUAGAAGCAUUUUAGAAGCUUACUUGGUGCUUAAUGUAACUACUUGUGCAAUCAAAUUUCUUAAUUUUCCAGCCAAUCUACAUUGCGG